UACGGAGGGGGCAAGCGUUGUUCGGAAUUACUGGGCGUAAAGGGCGCGCAGGCGGCUGCUCAAGUCAGGCGUGAAAGGCCUGGGCUCAACCCGGGAAUUGCGCUUGAGACUGGGCUGGCUUGAGUGCGGGAGAGGAUGGUGGAAUUCCCGAAGUAGAGGUGAAAUUCGUAGAUAUCGGGAGGAACACCGGUGGCGAAGGCGACCAUCUGGACGGAUACUGACGCUGAGACGCGAAAGCGUGGGGAGCAAACAGG
rnacentral:rRNA from 1 species